rnacentral:rRNA from 1 species
UACGGAGGGGGCUAGCGUUGUUCGGAAUUACUGGGCGUAAAGCGCACGUAGGCGGCUUUGUAAGUUAGAGGUGAAAGCCUGGAGCUCAACUCCAGAAUUGCCUUUAAGACUGCAUCGCUUGAACACGGGAGAGGUGAGUGGAAUUCCGAGUGUAGAGGUGAAAUUCGUAGAUAUUCGGAAGAACACCAGUGGCGAAGGCGGCUCACUGGCCCGGUACUGACGCUGAGGUGCGAAAGCGUGGGGAGCAAACAGG